rnacentral:rRNA from 1 species
CCUACGGGUGGCAGCAGUGAGGAAUAUUGGUCAAUGGGCGGGAGCCUGAACCAGCCAAGCCGCGUGAGGGAAGAAGGUACAGCGUAUCAUAAACCUCUUUUGUCAGGGAACAAAGGCGGGGACUCGUCCCCGGAUGAGGGUACCUGAAGAAAAAGCAUCGGCUAACUCCGUGCCAGCAGCCGCGGUAAUACGGAGGAUGCGAGCGUUAUCCGGAUUUAUUGGGUUUAAAGGGUGCGCAGGCGGCCUGUUAAGUCAGCGGUAAAAAUGCGGUGCUCAACGCCGUCGAGCCGUUGAAACUGGCGUUCUUGAGUGGGCGAGAAGUAUGCGGAAUGCGUGGUGUAGCGGUGAAAUGCAUAGAUAUCACGCAGAACUCCGAUUGCGAAGGCAGCAUACCGGCGCCCGACUGACGCUGAGGCACGAAAGCGUGGGUAUCGAACAGGAUUAGAUACCCCAGUAGUC